AGCCUGAAGCGACCCAAUUUAAUUAAGGAAAUCAAGGAAAUGAUGAGGAAACCAGGUACGAAGGCCAUGCAAAGAUCGUGCAAGAAUUCAAGUCCAAACUACUAUGUAAACAGUUAUAGGAGAGAGGGCUCGAGGGCUCAGAAGUCUGUGAGCAGAGAGACAGGUUUUCAAAAUGAUGGCACACGUUGAUUCAGUGAAAGGAGAGCAUGAGCAGGGGAGGGUCAGGAGAGAAAGGAAGAAAC